GACAGUGAUCAUUUUUUUGAAGAUGUUGAUGGUGCCAAGAAAGAAGCAAAAACCUCAGGUGCUCAAUGGGACGUUUUCAGCAGAGAAGAUGUCCCAAAGCUUCUAGAGUACCUCAAAAGGCAUUCUAGCGAGUUCACCUCAAUGCGUGGUUAUUCCAAACAAGUUGUUCACCCAAUUCUUGAUCAAAGUUUCUUCUUUGAUGCAUUCCACAAAAUGAGGCUUAAGGAGGAAUUCGAUGUUCAACCUUGGAC
rnacentral:misc_RNA from 1 species